rnacentral:rRNA from 1 species
ACUGCCUGCCCAGUGACUAAAGUUAAACGGCCGCGGUAUCCUGACCGUGCAAAGGUAGCAUAAUCACUUGUUCCUUAAUUAGGGACUAGCAUGAAUGGCAAGACGAGGAUUUAACUGUCUCUUACUACCAAUCAGUGAAAUUGACCUUCCAGUGAAGAGGCUGGAAUAACAUAAUAAGACGAGAAGACCCUAUGGAGCUUUAAUUAACUAGCUUAACUACUAAAUAUUACCCCUAAUGGAACAAAAACAAAACUAUAGGCUAGCAAUUUUGGUUGGGGUGACCUCGGAGAACAAAAUAACCUCCGAAUGAUUAUAGCACAGACACACAAGUCAAAGCAAAACACUUCAUCUAAUUGACCCAAACUAUUUGACCAACGGACCAAGUUACCCUAGGGAUAACAGCGCAAUCCUAUUUAAGAGUCCCUAUCGACAAUAGGGUUUACGACCUCGAUGUUGGAUCAGGACAUCCCAAUGGUGCAGAAACUAUUAAUGGUUCGUUUG